AUGGUGUGCGCGCCGGAGAGGAUGACCAGGUCCUCCGUGUUGAGGCCCUUGACGACGAAGCUGUCGACGAGGUCGCUGAGGUUGGACGCCGGUGGGACCAGAAACUUGAGCGGCUCGGAGGCGUUGGAGAAGGUGCCGUCGCGGCGGCCGGACGGCAUUUUGAAGUUUACCUUGCCCCUGCUAAGGAUGCAGGACGCGUCACGGGCCGCGAAGGCGACGAUGUCUGCGCAGGAGACGACGCCCGGGCAGGCUGCCUCGACGGCGUCCUUGAUCGCGUCAAUCAGCUCGAAGCCGCGCAGGGAAGGGUCGUUCGGCGGGCUGAGCUUCUCCGGCGUCGGGCUGAACGGGGUCGGGUCGAGGAGGACGGAAGCAUCACAGCCCUAG
rnacentral:rRNA from 1 species